rnacentral:lncRNA from 1 species
UUUAGGAAGAACCACCUUUUUCUCCUUCAUUUGUAUUGCACACACAAACAAAUACAUUCUCAUGGAGACAAUAGAAAGACAGAGAGAUUCUUGAACAAUAUGAAUUUAAUUUUAAAGGAUUUAUUACUUUGUUCAGUGUUGCAGUCAUGACAAGAGCUUUCCCUGACUAUUCAGCAAGCAAGAAGGACCUUAUACUUUUGCAAAAUAUAGCAAGUUAUAUGCUUCUUGCUUGUGGUGUUGUCUAUCUUGUUUCGGUAAGAUAACAAAAAUAAGUAUUUACCCCCUACUUUUAACUUAACUUUUUUGGAGUUUGAAGAAACUUUUAUCUCAGGUUAUAUGAUGAUGAAUUUCCUUUCUGUUACCUGAGAACUUUUAUCAAGCAAUGGCCAACCACCACAACCAGUCUACGAGUUAUUUUGAUUUUUAUUUUGCUGUAAUUUUUCAUGUGUUUUAGUUCAGUUCUAAUACUCAAGACAUACGUAUCUUGACUUAUUUCACUCGAAAAGUAAAUCAUAAUUAAUACACUUUCAAUUUCCAGGGAGUUCUAUGCAUUGGUUUUCUUAAACGUGCUCGCCAGCAGAAGGAAAUUACAAGGGAGCAGGCAGUCAAGGAUCUGGAGGUAAGUUAAACAUUACCUUAAAAACAAAUGAUAGGUUAUAAAACUUGUAAUAGGUCCCAUUAGGGCUUUUGUUUGCGACUCACUUCCGAGUUUGCAUAUGUUUACUGUUACUCUGAAUUAUGCAAUUAUGCUUUAUUUGUGAAAUCAUAUUGUAGAUGUCAUGGCAUGGUUUGGAAUUUUUUUUUAGAGAUAAAAGGAAAUAGGUGUUCUUAGAGCUCAAUAAAUGCCUCGUUCACUAUGCUCAUUGUCUGCAAGUAAAGAUAUAGUCCUCACCUGCUAACCUAGGAUGUAGGAUGUUAAAUGUAGGUCAGCAUGAUGAUGAUGAUGAAUUACAUGAUUUUACUUGGUUUCUUCAAUAUUUUUAUUUUCAUGCAAUCCCUAAAAUGAGAACCAUAUGUUUCACUCAUUCUGAUAAGACUAUCAAAAUAAGUAAAAAAGUUUGUUCUCUCUAAAACUCUUACAUGCUGUGAGCAAUAAUUACAAAUCACAAGGGUGAAUGUGGAAAAUUUCUCAUGAGAAAGAGUAAAAUUAUGCUGUUUAUGGUGAUCAAUAACUAAGGUCUGUACUAAGGUGACAGCAUUUGGGGGUUAGAAUUUACUUUUACAAACCAUUGUUCAAAACAGUGCACAAGAUAAUUCCAAGUAUACUGUGAUUUGCCACACACCAGGUAGUGCGAAUAUGCAUCUGUUUUUAUUAGACUCUUAAAAGGAAAAUUAAUUUUUUAAUGUAUACCUGUGAAGACAGAGUCUUUAACUAUUAUUUUUGUAUAUCAACUAACAUGAAUUAAAAUCACAGCAAUUGGAGCGGCGAAGGGAGGAACUCGAACAACUGCUUCUGGCUGAAAGAGUUUGAUGCCAUUUGUAUGAGUAUUUUUGUUCAGAUGGAUGAAAAUACUGAAAUGACUUCAACAAAUUUCAGUUAUGUAAAUAUAAUGUUGUUAUGCUGAUGUCAUUUCAUUGAUUGAUUCUAUUAGAUGUUUUUGAUGCAGGAGUAUAAUAUUUUUUAGAGUCUGAUAGUUCACGUGAAAGGCAGAAUUGAUUCAAUUCUUUUUCCUUUCCUUUUUUUUUUUUUUUUUUUAAAUAUUUGUGUUUCCGAUUGGUUAGGUCAUCAUUGUUGAUGUAUUUUAUUAUCCAGUGUAUUGCAUAUUCAAUUAAGAUUGCACUUGAUAUUUUCUGUGUGCCUACACGUCUACAAAUCACCUGCCUUGCUGGGAAUUGUGGCAAAUGCAUCUUAUCAUUGAUCACUAACCGUUACUUUUCGUUAUUUUAACACUUCAUUUGGAAUUAAAAAUUUAAUUUAAUUGAUUUCUUUCAUAAUUUUAGGUGUUAAUAUUUAACAUGGAGUUCCAAGCCAAGGGAGUAUUGUUGUGUGUUCUUUAGUAACAAAAGAAAAAAAAAUCAUUAGGGUUAGAUGGUAGAUGACAUGACUAUAAUUUGGCCUAUCAGGCUAGUGGGAAAAAAAAACGAAUGGUAAGUGUUUUAUACACUAUUUCGUUUACAAAAAUUAAUUUUCAUAGAAAUAAAACUUAAUCAUGAAUCUCUCGUUUAAUAUGCUGUUGGUAUGAUUCAUUUAAAAAAAAUUAAUAAAGUUUUAUAAAAUUAUAUAAGUUAAAAGAAUUGAAUUUUUUUAAUUCUUAAUUUUAAAAUUGAGAAUUCUAUUAAAUUGUGUCAAUCCCUAUGCAUUGUUCUUGAAUCUAAUUGCAAGCAGAUUGGUAGUUGAUUGCUUGUUUCUCUAUGUGGGAGAUUGAAAGACAAUGAACCGCAGCUAGCUAUGGAUAUCAAUAAUGCUUUUUUCACAUCUCCGGUGUCACUUACUCUAAGAGCUCUUACUCGCAAGGCAAAGUAAAAAGCCCUUUGCUUUGCAACCCAAACUCUUCUUCUGCCAUAUUGCUUGGCAACAAAUUUCCAAGACAAAAAAAACUUAAAUAAUAUUCAUUAAUUACAUUAAAAUUUAAAAACUAAAAUAUACUUUAUCCUAAAAAAUCUCAUUCUAACUUUUUGCACAUGUGUAAAUAGCUAAAAUACUCAAGACUUUGUUCUGUAUCACUCUGUCACAAAGUAAAUAUCAGAUCCUGAAAUAAAAAAAUACGAGAAGCUUUUAAUUCUUUAUAUUUAAAAAAAAAUGCAAAAUCCAUAAUGGGGUUUACGAAAUUUAUCCAAAAUAUUGCAGCAUUUCAAACGGGGAGCUCUGCCUCUCCUCCCUGUGCACUGAAGAUGCAUGAUCAUAAGCUCCUUCAACAGGCAUAGGCUGAUUUGAAGAGUUAGGUUGAACAUCAAAUUCUCUAGUACUUUUCUCAGCAGCUGCAGGUUCGAGCAAAAGACUGGAUUCCUCAGCUAUCACUAAAAGAUAACCAUCCAUGUCGACCGUCACCACGUAGUUAAUAUCAGAAACUUGAUUCCCACAUCCAAAUACAGGUUUCUCAGUUGGCACAUAAAGAUGAUCAUUCAUGGUGGUUGUCUGGAUGCUGUUAAUAUCCCAAACUUGAUCCCCACGUCCAUGGAUGAGUUCCUGACCAGUUGGCAUUAAAAGAUGAUCAUUCAUGGCGGCCUUCUGCAUGGAGUUAAUAUUCCAAACUUGAUCCCCACAUCCAUACAUGGGUUGAAAGCCAUUGCUAUAAUGAGAAGGAGGUUGACAUAUUUGGAUUGGUUGCACAUUAUAGGCAAAGUUGUUGUUGAAUGUGUUGUUCAUUGGCGGAGGAUCAUUGUCAACGUUAUCCAAGAUUGGCUGAGGAGGAUCAGACCAAAGAGGAGGAAGCAAAUAAGACCCAUAACCAUUCUCGUAUUCUUGGGAAAUCAUCAAAGAAUUAUCACACAGUAGAGGUUGUGCGGUGGAAACAUCAUCAGCUUUUGGAAUUUCUGUUUCAGCAAUAUUUACAGUUCCCCAUCUUCAUCGUUCUUGUUUUUCUUAUCUUCUGCUUUGUUGCUGUAGAUCUUGCAUAGAACCCAUUCAUCCAACUAACCCACAAAAAAUAUAAACACAUAAAAAUUAUUUUUUUUUUCUAGUUAAGAUAAUUUAUCUAUAGUUAACAUAAUUGAUCUAUAAUUACAAGAAUUUUUAAAAUUUAUAUUAAAAUAUUGGCAUGGAAAAUCUCAUUAAUCAUUCAGCUAAAGAAAAAUUUAUUAUAAUAUCUUUAAAAUUUUAAAAAAUUUAAUAAUUAAUCACUCUAUUAAUUUAAUUUCAAUAGGACUAAACGAUGGAUAUUUUUUUUUAUAAUUAAUGAAUGAAUAAAAUGUUAAAACUGUGAGAAAAAUUAAUUAAUAAAAUUUUUAAAAUUUUGAAGAUGUUUUAAUAUAUUUUAUAAAAUAUGUGAAGAAACUAAUGAAAUGAACUAAAUAAUAAAUUUUUUUAAAGAAAAAAAUGAUGAAUACCUGCUUAGGAUGCAGUGGGUUUUUGCCUCUGGCCGUAGCGCCUGAAGGAACAAGGCUUUGAUGAAGAAGAUAUUCAUGCAUCUUCCAGUUGGUUUUGGUUCCAUCACGCUGCCUCCCCUCAUAAUAGUCCAAAGACUUUCUGAAUCCCAGAGGUUUUUUUCCAUCUAGGAUUGCUUUAUCAGUUCCUGUAGCCUUCCAAUAUCCUAAUUCCCCUGCGUUUCGUUUCGGUCUAGAUCCAUUCGGGUACUUUUUCUCCCUACUCGUGAAAAAAUACCACUGGCUUUCUCUUUCUCUAUUCAGUUUAUAGGUUUCUGCAGCAAAACAAAGAAACCAACCCCCCCAAAAAAAAAAAAAAAAAAUUACAUUAUUGAAGAAGAAGAAGAAGGACAUGCAUGUACGUGCAUGCAAAAUUAAUACGACGUACCUGUGAGCUGUUGAGGGCUAUAGUUAUAUAAAUCAACCACAUGAAUCCUAUUGGGAGGCAAGUGUUCAUUGCUGAUCUUUCUCAGUAAAUAAUCACGAAUCAGCUCAUCAUCACUAGGAGCGAAUCGAUACCCAACAGGUAACGAGUUGAAAUAUCCUUUGUUCUUGUUCUGAUUUUGUUCUUGUUCUGAUUUUGUUCCAUUAGAUCGACAACAAACACAAAAUCAGAGAAGGGUUUUUGAUGAACGUAUGUGUUAUGUGUGGGUGUUGAAAUAUUUAUAUGUUUGUUUCGAAUUUUUCAGACCAUUACUCAGAAAAAUUAGGUUUCCUUCUCUUAACGGAAAUAUUCAUGAGGAAGUGUAAUUAGAUUAGGAACAGGAUUUUGAAAUAAUAUAGAGUUGUGGAAGGAUUAGAAUUACUUAUUGAAAUAUUUUCAUUUUAUAUUUUCUUUUUUUUUUUUUUUAAUUUUUUUAUUNNNNNNNNNNNNNNNNNNNNNNNNNNNNNNNNNNNUUAAUAUUUCCACUUAGUAUUAAACUGGUCUAAUAGCUCUUCUUCUGCCAUUUCGAAUAGCUCUCGGAUGAUUUGGUUAUGGAGGUAGUGACAUAAGUCUGCUUCAUGGAGCUCUCACAGUGCAGGAAUAGAUGAGAAUCAAACUAUUAAUUUUGAAUUAAUAAAAUUAAAUUAAAAUAAUUUGGGAAACCUGGAAAAAAAAAAAAACUACUGGACUUCAUCAGAAAAAAGCUUCUUUUUUUGUAAAAAUAAUUUGAGAGUGAUGAAAAAGAAGAUUGAUGAUUGAUGAUAAAAUCAUAUAAUUUUUCUUUGAACCCUUAAUUUGAAUUUGGUAUUGGAAUUUGAAUGAAGAAAAAUCAGUAAUGAUAAAAGUUCUUAUGAUGAGAAGGAAACAAAGAGAAGAAAAUCCAAGCCAUCAGAAUCACCAAUAUCAUUGGAUUCCCACUAUGCAAAAGCCUAAUAUGAGGUAUGCUUAAUUUUCCCUGGAAUUACAAAAAUCUGCAUUACCCUCUCGCUAAAAAUAGAUUGAAUUAUUAGGCUUCCAGUGAUGUCGUUGCAAUUUGUAACCUAUCUAAUCACUCCACAGCCAGAGAGAGAGCUCAAUUCUAGGAAUUUUAUUCGAAAUUUGCCAUUUCAUUGCCAAUUUCAAAAGUUUCUGGUUACUGAUCAUCUUGUUAAUCUAUAAGAACUGAAAGUUGGGAGGGAAAUAGAGAAAGAAACCUCUAGAUUCUAAAAUGCUGAAUGCAAGUUGUUUGAUGGGCAUAAGGGAAAGUAUGUGACUUGGUUAUAUAUUUGCAAGGAUAGACAAUCCAUUUCAUGGAGCUCCCACAAGGCAGGGGUGCAUGAAAGCAAAACCAUGUGAUAGGUGGUUGUGAAAGCUCGUUUACAAGGUUGGCAUGUUUAACAAUUAACCCCUCAAGUUUGAGACUAAGCAUGUAAUAUAUACAUGCUUCUGUCUAGUGGUUUACCAGCAAAUAAGAAUGGAGCUUGGAAAGCUAAGCCUCUGACGAAUGGAGCAGUUCUUGUACUUGCCUGCUUCUGUUGCUGCAAAGAGUCAAAGAAGGAACUGUGUUUUUGACUUUGAUGGGAUUGGAAUAUUCUAAUUAUGGGUAUAUGGGUACAUGAACUUGAUCAGACAGUUAAAAGAAAAAAAGAAGACAAGAUUUCUGAUAAAAAAUCUGAUUUGUACAUGAACUCUUCAGAAGCUACAAAUGGGUAUUUGAUGGUUUGUUCUUUGAUGUUGAAGAUUGGAAGACAAAGAACAGAAACUACUAGCUAUGGAAGUCAGUAAUGCUUUUUCUAUGUCUCUGGUGACCUGCUGUUUGAUCAGAGUGAUUGCAUAUUCUAUGAGCUCAGCCUCGCAUGGUAAUGUGAGAGGUCCCGUGCUUUGUGAUCCGAACUCUUCUUAUGCCAUUUCGAAUAGUUCUAGGAUGAUUUGGUUGUUGAGGCAUUGAAGAGGAAGCAAAAGGCGCUUUUGAUCUGAAGAGUGCACAACAAAACAACCCUUUUCAGCUUUUGCUGCUGAUGUGCAGCAGGAGUUUCUUGUAUCUGUGUUUCCAACGGUUUGUGGGAGUGUGAUUCUUUUUCGCCUCAUUUCUUGCCAUUUUGGGGAGCUUCUUGGGACUGAUCGUCCUGUUAUUACUCUAUAAAGGCAAAGACCUAUGGAGAAACUGUGCUUCUAAAAGUACUAGAGGAGUGAAAUCUGAAUGCUGAUCUUGUGAUGGGUAGAAGGCAAAGUAGUGGCUCGGUUUUAUAAUCACAAAGGCUAGACAUGAGCCUGUUUCAUGCUGAUCUAUGUUUGAAAAUCAACAUGUCAAGGUGAAGCGUCGGUUUAACAUGUCUCUAUCCUUUGACAAGUGGUUAACCAGCAAAAUAGAUAUCUAAGGUGUGGUGGGCUCAUGAGUCUAUAGCCUAUGUGAAUCAUAAAAACAAAAGAAGAUCAAAGUGGUUGGAACGAUGAGAAUCUAAUUAAAUGGCCGUGUUUUUUUACCCUAUUUCAGUUAUAAAAACUAGCAGAAAAGAAUUUAGAUUUCUAUUAACUUGUAUCAAUUCCAACAAGUUGUUAUCGAAUCUAAUUGCAACUCUUCAAACGCUGGUAGGUAGGGUGAGUAUUUGAUCGGUUCAGUUUGAUAAAAAAUCAAAAUUUUAGUAUAUUAAAAAUUGAAUUAAUUGAUUUUGAAUAAAAUUUGAUUUGAAUAGUGAUGACCGCUGGAUUUCUCCACCCCGGACUUGGGGCAGGCCCAUAUCGUGAGCCCAUCGUUUGGGGGGUUCAAGGCCUCCCCCGUGAGACUGGUCCAGCCCGUCCCCCUCCAGAUCAGACUCCAAUCAGUUUCCUCAAUCAGACCGGCCUAACCUCUUGGGCCCGUUGAACAGAUCCUUCCUGGGCUCAGCCCACGACUUAUCUUCCGGUCUAGUCUGGAAUCAGGAGGGAAACCCACCUGUCCGUCAUGUGAGUCCAUACGCAUGCGCGUCCGGGGAGAAUUAGGGGCCGUUAUGCAUGGGACAGAGAUCCGAUUCCCUCGUACGUCCAUAUCAACGUAGCCGGGACAGGUGGUCCAAUGAUACACGUUCUGCUACACGUCACUAGCUGCCAAAAGGAAACAUAUAAAAGGAGAAAUACUCUCCUCUAGGUCUAAGUUUUUUCCAGUCUUACAGAACCCAUUGUAAAACCCUAUUUUCUGGAUCUCAGAUCAUCAAUUGGUGCCGUCUGUGGGAACGAAGGAGAUCUUUUCAUCGCCAGAGUUCCACUCUCACGAAUACCCACUGAGAUCCACAAUGGCUAACCACAAUGAAAACAACGUCACUCCAAAUGACCUGAGCUCUGCCCAAGAGGGGCAACAAUUCUCCUUUUCUAGUCAUACGACACCAAAUAACCAAACACCAAUCCCUUUCAACCCCUCGCCAAGCCUGGCGGGGAAUGCUUCCGCCGCCACCUUGUCCAACCAAGACCUCCAAACCAUGGCCCUCCAACUACAGAGCACCGCCCACUGGUUGGGGCAGAUAAUGCAACAUCGGGGCCUUAGCACCCCCGCCAACGUGUCACCGGUGGUAGAAGAACCCCAGACCAACGAACCUCAGCCUACCUUCAACCACCCCAGAACUGUCAGCCAAGAAACCGGAGAUGGGAGGAGGAGAGUUGAAGAAGAGGAAGAGCCGGCAGCUCGAGUUCACAAGAGAAGGGCGAGGGAGAUGAUAGAAAAUGAUGAAGUCGAUAGCUACUCCGCCGAAACCACCGGAAGAAUGGGGAGUGAAACAUGGGAAGAGGAGGCUCACCAGGAGAGGAAGCCCAGGCGGGAAGGGGAGAGAGUAGACCAAAAGCUGCAGAAGUUGAGGGAGCAGCUCUUGGCCGAGCUGGGAGCGAAGGAUUAGAACCAAACUCUCCUACCCACUGCUUCACCCUUCUCAAAAUGGGUACAACAGGAGACUGUGCCUAAGAAGUUCAUGAUGCCACCAAUGGUAGCCUAUGACGGGGCUGGGAACCCUAGGGAGCGUGUCUUGAACUACAAGACUUUCAUGGAGCUGCAAACUCUGUCAGACGUCCUGAUGUGCAAGGUAUUUCCUACGACGCUCUCGGGGCCAGCACGGGCGUGGUUCAACAGCCUUGAGGCAGGAAGCAUUGGCAGUUUUGGAGAUCUAGCCACCCACUUCAUCAGCAGGUUUAUUGCCGGGGUGUCUGCGGAUAGGAAGACGAGCUACCUGGAGACAAUCAGGCAAAGGAAAGACGAAUCACUUAGGGAGUACGUCGCUCGUUUCAAUACAGAGGCCCUGCAGAUCUCCGAGCUCGAUGAAGGAAGAGCUGUAGAAGCCAUGCAGAAGGGGACGACCUCAGCAGAGUUCUUUGGCUCGUUGAGCAGGAAGCCUCCGACCUCGCUGGCCGAGCUGAUGAAACGAGCCGAAAAGUAUAUAAGGCAGGACGAUGCUUUGGAGACAAGCAGGUUUGCCAGGGGAGCGACAGAUAAGGGGAAAGAACCGGAGGAGGGAAGGCCGGAGAGGCGCGAGAAAAAGCAUGACAAGAGACCUGAAACGUAUAGACAACCCUGGGAGCGCAGGGACCAAAGACCUUCCCCUCGGGCCUCAGAACCAAGGUCGCUCCCCCCGUGGGUUCCAGAGAAACCGAUCCCUCUCAAUGCCUCUAAAGCCGAAGUGCUCAUGGCCAUCCAAAAUAAGGAGUUCCUCCAGUGGCCCAAGCCUAUGAAAACAGAAUCGAACCAGCGAAAUCCUGACAAAUAUUAUCAGUACCACCGCACGAACGGCCAUGACACCAAUAACUGCUUCCAGUUGAUUGCUGAGAUCGAAAGGCUAAUAAAGAGGGGACACCUCAAGAACUUCAUAAAGAAACCAGAAGAACAAAGGUCUCAGCCAGACCCAACAGGACAGACACUCAGAAGAGAGGGAGCAGGGCAGGAGAAUGACGGAUCCAAUGGGGCCAUCAAUAUGGUCGUUGGAGGAACAAAAGGUUGAAAAAGCUACAGAGGUAUUUUCCUUAGAAAAUUUGUGAAAAGAAAUUCUUGUACUAUAAAAGCACAAAAUAACGCCAUCUUAUAAAUGCAAUGAUUGAACUCUAUUAUUGUGAGCAUUAACUCUCUCAGGAAAAGAAAGAACAGAUAUCAAAAAGACCUCCCGGAGCAUAGAAGGCUGGCGGGAUCACAAAAAAAUCUCCCCGGAACAAAAACGGCCGGCGAGGAUCUCAAAAAGACCUCCCGGAGCAAAAACGGUCAGGAUCUCGUAAGAUCUCCUGGAGCAAAAACGGCCGGCGAGGAUCUCAAAAAGACCUCCCAGAGCAUAGAAGGCCGGCGAGAUCACAAAAAAAUCUCCCUGGAACAAAAACGGCCGGCGAGGAUCUCAAAAAGACCUCCUGGAGCAAAAAUGGCCAGGAUCUCGUAAGAUCUCCUGGAGCAAAAACGGCCGGUGAGGAUCUCAAAAAGACCUCCCGGAGCAAAAACAGCCAGGAUCUUGUAAGAUCUCCUAGAGCAAAAACGGCCGGCGAGGAUCUCAAAAAGACCUCCCGAAGAAAAAACGGCCGGUGAGGAUCUCAAAAAGACCUCCCGAAAUAAAAAGGGCUAGGAUCUCGUAAGAUCUCCUGGAGCAAAAAACGGCCGGCGAGGAUCUCAAAAAGACCUCCCGGAGCAACAAAAACUGGGAUCCCCAGAGAUAUCCCGGUAACACAUGCUCAUAGCAAACAGAGGUACACAACGACCACACGCAAAAACAAAAGUUCCGACCUCACAUAAAAGAUUGGGGCACAGGGCCAUAAAUAAAAAGCUAAAACUCCGACCUCCCGAAAGAGCUCGGAUCAACAGAGCCAAUAAGGCCCCAAUCUCGCAAAGUAACCAGCACAUAACAAGAUUAAACAAAGGCACCUCAACGCCUGUAUCAUAUAGCAGUGCGACCUACUAAAGCAGGGCUCGCAGGCGCCAAAACGCCAAAGCACCAUGCAGACCUCAAGAAGGAAAGCUCAACCCUGGUAAAACCCAGGGGCAGCAAAGAACAGACAACACAUAAAACACUUAGGGGCAGUAGGAAGCCCUGAAAAAAAAAACAGGCGAUUACAAAUGAAGUCUAGGGAUUUACCCCCUCACCACUCAUGUAAUAAAUGUUGAGGAGGAAAAAGGGCAAUCUGAGGAGAAACCCCAUGGCGUGAGCAAAUGAGACCCUAGCUUCAGCUCCUGUCAAAUCAGAACUAAAAGCAAAAAGGCCAGCCCGACUCAUCACCUCAAAAGAUCGCAAGUUUAACCCACUAUUAGAAACAGAGCUCGCAGGCACGGCCAGUUCAGCUCGGAAACGGGUACGGUUAGUCCAGCUCGGAAGGAGUAUACGGGUAAGUAUGCCUUAGUGAAAUAGAUAAAUUUAUAAGACAAAAGUCCUGUCAAUUGUUAAUAUCUCAGUAAUGACGAGCUUGAAGGAAAAAAGGAAAGACAGUAUAGUGGAUCCCUCAGAGAAAAUUAUGAAGCAUGCAGUUUAAGUAUUUCAUUUAUAAGCAGAGAUAAGUUCAAGAAUGAACGAAAAACAAGAAGUAGUUCAAGUGGAGGCAAUUAUAAUUUCAUUAAAGAAAAAACGUAUUACAAUCUACUUAUCUGCUAAGGUUGAAGGAAAAACAGUCCUUAAGGGACUUACAUUUCUAGGAACAUCGUCAUCUACACUAUCUUUAUUUACAUUUACAUUAACAUCUGAAGGAGGUCUGGCAUCCUCCAGCUCAGACCCCUCAGUGCCAACAAAAGGCACAGUCUCUAGCCCUGAAGGACUAGCACCUUCCUCUCCUAGCUCUACAUCCCUUUCUUGAGGCCCGGAGUCAUCCUCCUCAGGUUCGAGGACGUCCACACUUUCCCCAUCUAGCUCGGAUUCCUUUGAAGAAGAUUCAGUUGCAAUGCGAGAGGUUCCUCUGGGCAAGGGAAAGUCGUCCUCCCCGUAUAGCACAUUUUCGCCGUCAGAGUCCAUCUCAGCAGCUCGGAGCUUCGCUAGAGGGAUAUCAAGAGCAAGCCUGGCUUCUCUUAAACCCCGAUUGAAGCCAGUCGCGAACAUGCAGAAGCUUUUUUGCCAAACAGCAAUCUUCAUCUCAUCAGAGGCUUUAUACUCCGCAAGUUGUGACUCACAGGCCUUAGCUAUAAUUGCCUUCAGCUCAGGAGAAUCCUUAUAAUCUUGUAGGUGAGCUUCACAGGCCUGCUCAAUCUUCCUUUUUAGCUCAUCCGACUCCUGAUACUCCGUCAGACGCCUCUCACACUCCAGCUGGAUCUUGUCCUCAGCAUGUCUGGUCUCCUCGAGCAGAGCUGAACAUUUACGUUCUAAAGUCCUGACUUCAUGGCUGAGCUGUUGAUUACGAAGUUUGGACUCCUCCGCCGAUGAAGCCAGGUCUCUGAUAUGUUCAGAGCUCGUGCUCAGCUCCUACUUGAGGAUUUCCACUCGAGCCAGGGCCCCCUCUUUUUGAAUCUUCACCUUAUCAAGGUGAGCCUGAAUUUCUUCGAAAUCAGCCUUCAGGGCCUCAUACUGGCGCUGGACCUCAUCCUUUUGGCUUAUAGCCUCGUUCCUCUCACGAAGGGUCUCCACCAUGGAGGACAACUGCUUCAAAACUUCCUCACAGCGAACCUCAGCUGCAGCUACCCUCUCAUCAGAUUCCUUCAGGACCUCUUGAGUGUGAGACAACUCCGCCUCCAGGGAUUUAGCGUGUUCCUGCGCCUCAGAGGCCCUCACAUCAGCCCUCUUGAGAGCCUCCAAGGCUGUAUGUAGCUCAAGCCGGAGGGAUUCAGAGUGCUUUCGAGCAGCAGUGAGAUUGCCUUUGGCGUCGCUGGUGGCAGACAAGUUCUCCUCCAGACGCGCCUCCUCAAUCCGGCGAUUCACAGACUCCCGGAGAGAGUGGUCGCGAGCAUCCACCUCCAUGAAGAGGCCCGUCACCUAGUACAAAAAGACAACCAUCAGAAGAAAGAAAUAAAGAAAGCCAGAAAGGAAACGGAAAGACGACUUUACCAUCAGAAGCAUCUCCCUAAUCAUAUCCCCGAGCUCCUCCUGAGGUCGAGAUCGGAACGCUGCUUACUCCUUAGUAGAACUGGCUAGAAGACCAGUGAUGUAACGACCCGGAAAUCGGACCGCUACCGACGCUAGGAUCUAGAUCGGCUUAAGGCCACCGGGACCCGUAGCAAGCCAAACAUUCAUCCUGUGAACCUGAUUAAUCCCAUACAUGAUCAACAACAUACAUAAAAAUUUGAACUUUCCUUUCCAUUUAUUCAUUCUCCAAACUCAACCUGAGCAUGCACUAUACAUAAACAUAAUCAUAAACAUUAACCCCUCCUUGGAGUCUCAUCAAUGCUCCAAUGGGGUGACAUAACAUGAAUUAAGUUUGGUUUACAAAAGCAUCAAAAAGAUCAUGUACUCCAAGGGAUUAAUAACAUUACACUAUAGUCAAGCACAAUUCUAAACUUCCAUAAGCAUCAUUACAUUACCAUACUUUUACAUGAUUGUACUCAACAUAACAUAUCACCAUUUUUCAUGUCCACACUAGCUAUUACAUGACCAUGACUUCAUUACUCUUGCUGACCUCCUGGUCUACCCUGUACCUGCAAACCUGGGGGUUAAGGGAGAGGGGUGAGCUACUAGAGCCCAGUGAGCAGAAUAAUAAACUAUUGUAUUUAAAACAUAUGAUAUCAUGGAAUGCGUCACAACACAAACAAAUCACAUCAAGGAUGGACUUGUCGCCAAUGACCCUCAUCAUAAUCCAAUCAUGCCAGGGGCGUAGUGCAGGCCACACCUGGUCUUUCCCCUAAACAUAACAUGUCAUACAUAUCCAAUAAUGCCGGGGGCGUAGUGGAGGCCACACCCGGACUUUCCCUUACAUAGUGCCAGGGGCGUAGUGCAGGCCACACCUGGACUUCCAUAUCAUAUCAUAUCUCAUCAUACUGAGGACCAAUGGGUCAUCCAACAUCCAUCCACAUUAACAUUAAGAUAUGCAAUGCAACAUAUUCGUGGAUUCUAAUGCAAACAACCUAAAAUAUCACAUGGCAUUCGUGAUGCAUGAAUCAUGUUGAAACUUGUAUUAAUUUAAAACAUAAGGUUUAUUCCACUCACCUCUGGCUAGCUCUGACAAGACUCUGAAGUAGUUGACUCACUGCUGGGGUCCUCGGUUCCUCGGGUCCGAGCCUACACAGGUGGACUCAAAUGAGGGACCAAACAUCUAUGAUCAAGACUCUAAAAUACUCCCCAAAAACCCCCUAAAACACCUCAAAACAUCCAUAGAAAACAUGCAAAGGAAGGCUGAACAGGGCACUUUCGGUGGCCGAAAGUCUCUCCAGAGCCGAAAGUCAUGCAGGUUCGGCGGCACCUUCGGCGGCCGAAAGUGCCCUCCAGAGACGAAAGUCCAUUUUUUGGGGCAGGCUUCGGCAGCCGAAAGGCUUGCCUCACAGACAGGUUCGGCGGCCGAAAAUCCUUUCGGCUGCCGAACCUGGUUUCUCCCAAAGGGCAUAAACUCAGCUCUUCAAUGCACACUUUCCUCCCAAACCUUCCAAUCAAGCAUCCAACUCUCUCAAAGCAUGCAUACACACAUACAUCAACACCUAGGGGUCUCAAACUAUCUUAAACCCCAACUACAACACAUCAAACAUGCAUAUCCAACACACAUUGUCCAUAUAAUCACAUAAAACCUAACAAAGCUCAACUAACCUAAACAUGCAUUUCUACCCCAUAAAUCAACUUAAAACUUGUUUAAAACAUACAAUGAGCUCAAGAUCGGCUCUUACCUCAUGAAGAUCGAGAGAGAGACGACCUAAACUUGGAAACCAAAGGAAAGGAGCUCCUGAGUCUUCCAAGCCUCAAAACUUGCUUUAAUGCUCAAAAAUCUUCAAAACAAAGUGAAAACUCAUGAAAAUCAUGAAAGAUUUGUAGGAAGAGACUCAAAAUCGGCGAGGGACGGCGGAGAACUCACCUUGGCUGAAAAUGGGGAGAAAAGCUCGCCCGUUCGGACAAGGGGACCCUUUUAUAGGUGGCUGGCCAGGCCACUUUUGGGGGCCUAACGUGCCUCCGCAUGCAUGCCAUGUUCGGCGGCCGAACAUAAGGUUCGGCGGCCGAACCUGGACUUCCCUCACUUAUGCCUUCGGGGGCCUAAACCACUCCCAAAGUGCAUGCAUGUUCGGCGGCCGAAUCUGAGUCUUCCUCUCAAGACUAUUUUCAUUCAAAACUUAAUUUCUUUCUUGCUUAAAACCAUAAAAUACAUUAAAACAAUUUAUGAAAACAUGGUUUUACCCUUCUAGAGGUUUUCGACAUCCGAGAUUCCACCGGACAGUAGGAAUUUCGAUACUGGAGUCUAGCCGGGUAUUACAAGUGAGGGCAAGCAGGCAUGGAUCUGAAGCCUCCGUAAUGCCACCAAACAUUCGCUCUCUGAGAAUUUCGGCAACUACACUGGUUGGAGAUUGGUGGGUGAUGUCCUCCACGUUCAGAAUAUCAUUGUCAGGAGCAAACAACAGAGGUACUACGGGGACAUCUUUUUCCUUCCCAAUAGGAGGGAGGGCUGGAGCUGAUCCUUUGGAAGCCCUGGACUUCUUUCGAGCAGGAGCUGGGGGAGAUAUUUCAGGAGGGGCUGGACGCUUGUCCCCGGUCUUCACUGUGACGCCUCCGUCAACAGAUCCAGAUCCAGUCCCCACAGGGGCAGGAGCAUCCCCGAUAGGGGCCUCCAGGACAUUCUCUUCCACAAGUACAACCUCCAUUCCCUUCCCUGGGGCUUCCUCUUCAAUAAUGGGGGACCCAAACCUUCCCCCUAGCACCUCCUCGGAAGAAAGAGCAAGAUCCGACCUUGCCUGUUCAAUGUCUUCUGUCUGCUUCGCAAUGACCCGUGGAGCUUCCCUCACCUCCUCUAUGAAAGCUUGAUUGGAUCUAGACUCCUGGGCAGGUUUAGGAGCCGAGGUCGACCUGCCACGGCUAGAUGGCCGAGAGGAUCCGGCACCGCGGGAGCUCGGCUUAGGAGCUCGAGAGGAAGCUCUGGCAGGAGGUCGGCUAACCUUCCUAGAAGAAACAAUCUGAGCCACUUCUUCAGCGACCUUAGACACGUAGUGUCCAGCCCGAAGGGCAUCUAAGGCGGCGUUCAUGCUCUCCCGGGACAUAACUAAGUUCUUUGGGGGCUUGAUCUGGUCCAUCUCGAAGUCUGAAGCUGCCGAAAAACACAAAAUCAGAAAAAGUUAGUGUACUUUAUAAUACCAGUUACGAGGAAAAAAUAGGACUGCUGGACAAAACACUAUACCUGUAUCUUGAAUAUCCCUAAGAUUAGACACGAACAUACACUUCUCGACGUCAUACUUCUUGUCAACAGAAGUCAGUCGAAGAUACCCCACCUGCUCGGUAAGACUUAGUUGGGGCAGGUCGUUGCAGCCCAAGGGGACAUCCUCCCAAUCUAGCCCCACUCCCCACGACAAGUCGGUCUCUUUUCUCAGCUCUGCCACAAGGAAACUCUCUACCCAUCCCUUUAUUGAGUCCUUGUAGCCCGUGAAAAUGGACAACCCACCACGGGGGGCAAAAUAGUAAAAAUUCUGAAUCGCCCUAACGAGACAGAAGAAAGUGACGAAUAGACAUGCCGUGGGUGUAAAACCCCAACUCAAGCAGAUAGAUUCAAAACAACACAUGAACAAAAUAGAAUUUGGAGACAACAUCCGGGGGGUUAUCCCGAAGUAUUGGAAAACCUCGAUGAAGAAAGGGGUAAAAGGGAAAGUCAGACCAAAGUCCCUCUGCUUAAGGAAGAAGACUAAGCUACGACCCUUCUGGGGAUCUAUUAAAUCGGGAGGGGAAGGGUUUGGAAGAACUAUCCUCUCAUUUUGUAAAGGAGCACGAAUAUAGUAAAGCGGAGUAUCUAAAUAUCUCCGAGAAAUAUACUUAGUUAUGGUAGAGGGAGUGAUGUUUGACUCAAGAUUAGAAACAUCGGGAAGUUUAGGACCUUCCAUGGAGGAAUAAGAAAGCGUACCUGAAACACAAUAAGGAUGAAUAAGCAGAAGAGGUCGAAGGAGAACAGAGAGCAGAAGAGAGCAAGUUUUCUUGGGAGACUGAGAGAACUCAAAAUGGGGAACGGUAAUGAGACGAAGAGUUGUUCUGAACAGUUUUGUCCUGGAGCGGCGCGGUCAUUAUUACUCUCGAUAUUUACCCCCUCGUCAGUCAGACAAUAACUGACGAGAAGGUAAAGGGGCAAUUGAUGACCGCUGGAUUUUUCCACCCCGGACUGGGGGCAAGCCCAUAUCGUGAGCCCAUCGUUUGGGGCCUCCCCCGUGAGACUGGUCCAGCCCGUCCCCCUCCAGAUCAGACUCCAAUCAGUUUCCUCAAUCAGGCCGGCCUAACCUCUUGGGCCCGAUGAAUAGAUCCUUCCUGGGCUCAGCUCACGACUUAUCUUCCGGUCUAGUCCGGAAUCAGGAGGAAAACCCACCUGUCCGUCAUGUGGGUCCAUACGCAUGCGCGUAUGGGGAGAAUCAGGGGCUGUUAUGCAUGGGACAGAGAUCCGAUUCCCUCGUACGUCCAUAUCAACGUAGCCAGGACAGGUGGUCCAAUGAUACACGUUCUGCUACAUGUCACUAGCUGCCAAAAGGAAACAUAUAAAAGGAGAAAUACUCUCCUCUAGGUCUAAGUUUUUUCCAGUCUUACAGAACCCAUUGUAAAACCCUAUUUUCUGGAUCUUAGAUCAUCAAAUAUAAUUGAUUCGAUUUAUUUUGAUUUGACCGGUUUUAGUAUUCUAAACAAAUAUUUUAAUCUUGAUUACAAAUGAAGCUAUUUUGUAUCUAAUUUUACAGAUAUAGAAAUCCUUAAUAUUAAAUUUCAAUAGUAUUAAUGUUGAAAAGAUUAUGGUAUGAAUUUAAAAAAUUAUUAUUUUUUAUGAGAUUUUUUAACAAAUAUUUUUUAAUCUGUGAAUACAGAUAUUUUUAAUUGAUAUUAUUGUACAAAUUUUAAAAUUAUUAAUUUAUGAAUUGAUAUAUUAUUUUUAAAUAUCAAUUUGAAAAUUUCUGAUAAAUAUAAAAAGUAAUACUUUAUAAUAUAAAUAUAAAAAAUAAUACUUUAUAAUAUAAAUAUAAAAAAUAAUACUUUAUAAUAUAAAUAUAUUAAAUUCUAUUUCUAUUUAUAAUGAGAAUUUAUUAGUAAUUUUAAAAUAUUCCUUAUGAAUAAAUAUUAGUAACAAUAAUUUAAAUUUUUUAUUUUUUAUUCUUAAUUAAAUAAAAAUAAUUAAAAUUAUUUAAAAUUAAUAAAAUAAUCAUAAAAGUAAUAAUAAAUAUAAUUUGAUUUAAUUAAAAAUAUCUCCCCAUAUAACCUCUCAAUUUUUAAAAAAUACCAUAAAUAAAUAUCUUUAAAAAAUGUCUAUUAUUUUCUGUUCAAUAAUUAAUUUUAAAUUAAUAUUCAGUAUUUUAAUUUAGUUAAAACACUAUUAUUUAAUAAUUGAAAAAAUAAUUUAUAAAAAACUAUUUAUUAUGAUAUUUAAUUAACUAUUAACUGACCACAUAUUCACAACUCUACAUUAUUUCAAAAUCCUUUUCCUAAUCUAAUUACACUUCCUCAUGAAUAUUUCCAUUAAGAGAAGGAAACCUAAUUUUUCUGAGUAAUGGUCUGAAAAAAUUGACACAAACAACACCCACACAUAACACAUACGUUCAUCAAAAACCCUUCUCUGAUUUUCUGUUUGGUGUCAAUCUAAUGGAACAAAAUCAGAACAAGAACAAAGGAGUUGCUGCAGAUUGCAGUACUAGUAGCGAUGACGUUGAGAGAUAUUUCAACUCGUUGCCUGUUGGGUAUCGAUUCGCUCCUAGUGAUGAUGAGCUGAUUCGUUAUUAUUUACUGAGAAAGAUCAACAAUGAACACUUGCCUCCUAAUAGAAUUCAUGUGGUUGAUUUAUAUAACUAUAGCCCUCAACAGCUCGCAGGUACGUCGCAUUAAUUUUGCAUGCACGCACAUAUGCAUGUCCUUCUUCUUCUUCAAUAAUGUAAUUUUUUUUUUUGGGUUUUCUUUGUUUUGCUGCAGAAACCUAUAAACUGAAUAGAGAAAGAGAAAGCCAGUGGUAUUUUUUCACGAGUAGGGAGAAAAAGUACCCGAAUGGAUCUAGACCGAAACGAAACGCAGGGGAAUUAGGAUAUUGGAAGGCUACAGGAACUGAUAAAGCAAUCCUAGAUGGAAAAAAACCUCUGGGAUUCAGAAAGUCUUUGGACUAUUAUGAGGGGAGGCAGCGUGAUGGAACCAAAACCAACUGGAAGAUGCAUGAAUAUCUUCUUCAUCAAAGCCUUGUUCCUUCAGGCGCUACGGCCAGAGGCAAAAACCCACUGCAGCCUAACCAGGUAUUCAUCAUUUUUUUUUUCUAUAAAAAAUUUAUUAUUUAGUUUAUUUCAUUAGUUUGUCCAUCAUUUAACCUUUUCUUAUUUGUUAUCAGAAAACUCAUUAUUAGUAAAAAAAAGAAUUUAUUAUUUAGUAUCUUGAUAUUGAGAGAAUUUGAGACUUUUGCAUAUGGCUAAAAUUAAAUUAAUAGAGUGAUUAAUUAUUAAUUUUUUUUAAAAUUUUAAAAAUGUUUUAAUAUAUUUUUUAUUGAUUGAUUAAUUAAUGAGUUUAAAUAAUCAGUUAAUUUUUUAUAUUAUAUAAAUAUUUUAAUAGAUUUCUUAAAAAAUUCAAUAAUUAUUGAUAAAUUAUGUAACUAUUCUUUAUUAUAACCAUAAAAUUAUGUUAACUAGAAAAAAAAAUUAAUUUUUAUGUGUUUAUAUAUUUUUUGGGUCAGUUGAAUGAAUGGGUUCUCAGCAAGAUCUACAACAACAAAGCAGAAGACAAGAAAAAUAAGAAUGAUGAAGAUGGAGGAACUGUAAAUGCAGAAACAGAAAUUCCACAUGCUGAUGAUUCCACUGCACAGCCUCUACCGUGUGAUAAUUCUUUGAUGAUUUCUAAAGAAUACGAGAAUGGUUAUGGGUCUUAUUUGCUUCCUCCUCUUUCUUCUGAUCCUCCUCUUUCUUCUGAUCCUCCUCGGCCAAUCUUGAAUAACAUGGACUAUAAUCCUCCAUCAAUGGACAACACAUUCAAUAAUAUCUUUGCCUAUAAUGUGCAACCAAUCCAAAUCUAUUACCCUCAUUCUCAUUAUAGCAAUGGCUUUCAACCCAUGUAUGGAUGUGGGGAUCAAGUUUCUGAUAUUAACUGCAUGGAGAUGGCCACCAUGAAUGAUCAUCUUUUACCUCCAGCUGAGGAACCCGCCUAUGGACGUGGGGAUCAAGUUUGGGAUAUUAACUGCAUGCAGACGGCCGCCAUGAAUGGUCAUCUUUUAAUGCCAGAUGGGGAACACAUCUAUGGAUGCGGGGAUCAGCUUUGUGAUGUUAACUGGAUGGAGACGGCCGCUAUGAAUGGUGAUCUUUUAGUGAUAGCUGAGGAACCCAGUCCGUUGCUCGAACCUGCAUUUGCUGAGACGAGUACCAGGGAAUUUGAUGGUCAACCUAGCUCUUCAAAUCAGCCUAUGCCUGUUGAAGGAGCUUAUGAUCAUGCAUCUUCAUUUCACAGAGAGGAGGAGAGGCAGAACUCACUGUUUGAUAUGGUGCAUUAUUCUGGAUAAAUUUUGUAAAUCCCAUUAUGGAUCUUUUUUUUUUUCAUCUGACUAUUCUAAAAAAAUUUUUAAAAAAAUGAUAAUAAAAAGUACCAUGGUUUAAUGCAUAUUUUAUUUCAUAGUAUGAAGUAUACUUUAUGAUAAAAAAUCAUAAGGCAUGAUAUGAUAGGGAAUAAUUAAUAUUAAGUUUUAUAAUAAAUUUAAAUUAUAAUUUAACUUUUAGUACCACAUUCGUCGAAGGUCUAGGAUAACCUUUCAAAAAAAAAAAUUUCAACUUUCAAAAGUUUACGGUUCUAAUAUGAAGCGAUUAAUCUUAGAUUUUAUAAUAAAUUUGAAUCGGGUUUAAUUUCUACUGCUAACUUUUAUUGGAAGUUCAUAAUAAUUUUUUGAAAAAAUAUUUUAUGAUGUACGAUUUUUUAAAGUUAUAAAUUUAUCACAAAAUUUAAGAUCAAAAUUCUAUUAAGUCAGUUUUGUCACAAAAUUCAAAUAUAAAAUUUUAUUGUUAAAAGAGUUAAUAUAAUUUUAUUAUUCUUUUAGAUUUUUUCUUAAUUUUUUAUAUUAAGAUUUUUUCUAUUAUAAAUAAUUAUUUUUUACUUUUUAAUUUUCAAAAAUUUAAUAAAAAAUUUUGAUUUUUAACUUUUUAUUCUCUAAAUUUCAUUUUAAUUAAAUUUUAUUGAUUAAAAUUUUUUUAAAAGUCUAAAUAGUUUUAUUUCAAAUAAUAUUAUAAAUUAAUCAUGAACGUCUUUCGAAAUAUUAUUGUUUGUUGACAGUGUUUGUUAAUAGUAUAUUUGUAGUGUCUCAAAUUGAUUAUUUAUAAAAAAAUUGAUAGAUUUAUAAAUAGUUAAUAAAAAUAUUAAAUUGAAUUAAUCAUUUUGAACAAAUUGAAAAACGAAUGAACGAGAUUGGUAUUUCUCACAUCGGUUAUUUACAUGAUAAUUUUAUAAAUAGUUAAUAAAAAUUAUUAAAUAAUUAAAAUUAAUUAUUUUGAAUAAAAUAAAAAAUAAAUUAAAAAUUUAUUUAAAUCGAUUUAAACUGAGUAUUAAUAUAAUAUACUAUUUUAUUAUAAAAUUAAUUUUAGAUUUUGAAAUUAAAAAUAAGCUUUUUUUUAUAAUUUUUAAAAUAAUAAAGUCCGACUAUUUUAGCAAUUUAUAUAUGUGCAAAAAAGUUGGAAUGAGGUAUUUUUAAAGUAAAUUAUAUUUUAAUACUUAAUUUUUAAUGUAAUUAAAUUUCUGUUUUUUCUCUUUAGAAAUUUGAUUUUUUUUUUUUAUUCAUUGUCCUCUUUGAUUAUUUGUUGAUGCUGAGAUGUUUUGUGAAAUGUAUACAUGUUUGUUUGAGAAAUUGAUUGAUGAAAUUCAAUAAACGAAAAUUUUAGAACAGUUAUUUUCCAUUUUAUUAUUAAUUUAAUAAAUUUUAUAAAUAAAAAAAUUAUAAUUUAUGAGAAUAUAUUUAUUAAUUAUAUUAAAAUUAAAGACUAAAAAGUAAUUUAUUCUGAUUUAAUUAUUAAUUUUUUACAAGUUAAUUUUCUAAUACACAAGUUUCAUCAAUGUCAGACGUAAUGAGCCCCGUAGUUUUAUAUACAUUAAUUUAUUUAUUUGAGAUAAAAUAUGUAAUUUUACUCUUCAACUUUACUUAGAAGUCUGUUGAUACCAUAAUUUUAUUUUUUAUAAAAUUGUAAUUAUUUAAUCCGUACUAAUGUUUUAAAUUUUUAGAAAUUAAAUAAUUAUAUUUUAUAACAUUUAUAAAAUUUAAAUUACUAGUUAAUUCUCAUUACAACUAUAAAUAAAAAUUUAAUAUAUUUAUAUUAUAAAGUACUAUUUUUUAUAUUUAUAUUAUAAAGUAUUACUUUUUAUAUUUAUCAGAAAUUUUCAACAACGGUUUAAUUAUAAUUGAUAUUUAAAAAUAAUAUAUCAAUUCAUAAAUUAAUAAUUUUAAAAUUUGUACAAUAAUAUCAAUUAAAAAUAUCUAUAUUCACAGAUUAAAAAAUAUUUUUUAAAAAAUCUCAUAAAAAAUAAUAAUUUUUUAAAUUCAUACCAUAAUCUUUUCAACAUUAAUAUUAUUGAAAUCUAAUUUUAAGGAUUUCUAUAUCUGUAAAAUUAAAUACAAAUAGCUUCAUUUAUAAUCAAGAUUAAAAUAUUUAUUUAGAAUACUAAAACCGGUCAAAUCAAAAUAAAUCGAAUUAAUUCGAUUCAAAUUAAUUUUUAUUCAAAAUCGAUUCAAUUUAAUUUUUAAUAUACUAAAAUUUUGAUUUUUUAUCAAACCGAAACAAUCGAAUACUCACCCUACCUACUAGCUUUUGAAGAGUCAGCAAUUAGAUUCGAUAAUAACGUGUUGGAAUUGACACAAUUUAACAGAAAUCUAAAUUCUUUUCUGUUAGUUUUUAUAACUGAAAUAGAGUAAAAAAAAACACAGCCAUAUUAGAUUCUCAUCAUUCCAACCACUUUGAUCUUCUUUUGUUUUUAUGGUUCACAUAGGCUAUAGACUCAUGAGCCCACCACACCUUAUAUAUCUAUUUUGCUGGUUAACCACUUGUCAAAGGAUAGAGACAUGUUAAACCGACGCUUCACCUUGACAUGUUGAUUUUCAAACAUAGAUCAGCAUGAAACAGGCUCAUGUCUAGCCUUUGUGAUUAUAAAACCGAGCCACUACUUUGCCUUCUACCCAUCACAAGAUCAGCAUUCAGAUUUCACNNNNNNNNNNNNNNNNNNNNNNNNNNNNNNNNNNNNNNNNNNNNNNNNNNNNNNNNNNNNNNNNNNNNNNNNNNNNNNNNNNNNNNNNNNNNNNNNNNNNNNNNNNNNNNNNNNNNNNNNNNNNNNNNNNNNNNNNNNNNNNNNNNNNNNNNNNNNNNNNNNNNNNNNNNNNNNNNNNNNNNNNNNNNNNNNNNNNNNNNNNNNNNNNNNNNNNNNNNNNNNNNNNNNNNNNNNNNNNNNNNNNNNNNNNNNNNNNNNNNNNNNNNNNNNNNNNNNNNNNNNNNNNNNNNNNNNNNNNNNNNNNNNNNNNNNNNNNNNNNNNNNNNNNNNNNNNNNNNNNNNNNNNNNNNNNNNNNNNNNNNNNNNNNNNNNNNNNNNNNNNNNNNNNNNNNNNNNNNNNNNNNNNNNNNNNNNNNNNNNNNNNNNNNNNNNNNNNNNNNNNNNNNNNNNNNNNNNNNNNNNNNNNNNNNNNNNNNNNNNNNNNNNNNNNNNNNNNNNNNNNNNNNNNNNNNNNNNNNNNNNNNNNNNNNNNNNNNNNNNNNNNNNNNNNNNNNNNNNNNNNNNNNNNNNNNNNNNNNNNNNNNNNNNNNNNNNNNNNNNNNNNNNNNNNNNNNNNNNNNNNNNNNNNNNNNNNNNNNNNNNNCUUUUUUUUUUUUUUAACUGUCUGAUCAAGUUCAUGUACCCAUAUACCCAUAAUUAGAAUAUUCCAAUCCCAUCAAAGUCAAAAACACAGUUCCUUCUUUGAUUCUUGAACAAUAGGAAUUUAAUUUUAAAGGAUUUAUUACUUUGUUCAGUGUUGCAGUCAUGACGAGAGCUUUCCCUGACUAUUCAGCAAGCAAGAAGGACCUUAUCCUUUUGCAAAAUAUAGCAAGUUAUAUGCUUCUUGCAUGUGGUGUUGUCUAUCUUGUUUCGGUAAGAUAACAAAAAUAAGUAUUUACCCCCUACUUUUAACUUAACUGUUUUGGAGUUUGAAGAAACUUUUAUCUCAGGUUAUAUGAUGAUGAAUUUCCUUUCUGUUACCUGAGAACUUUUAUCAAGCAAUGGCCAACCACCACAACCAGUCUACGAG